rnacentral:rRNA from 1 species
UACGAGUGGUGCAAGCAUUGCCCGGAAUCACUGGGUGUAAAGGGUUUGUAGGCUGAUAAGCAAGUCAGGUAUGAAAGACCGAAGCUCAACUUCGUGUUUGUAUUUGAAACUACUUGUCUAGAAUUAGGAAGGGGUAAACGGAAUUCUAAGUGUAGGGGUGCAAUCCGUAGAUACUUAGAGGAACACCAAAAGCGAAGGCAGUUUACUGGUACUAUAUUGACGCUGAAAAACGAAAGCGUGGGUAGCGAAAGGG